rnacentral:misc_RNA from 1 species
UUUCCGUAGGUGAACCUGCGGAAGGAUCAUUCAUAAUAAAGUGUUUUAUGGCACUUUUUAAAAAUCCAUAUCCACCUUGUGUGCAAUGUUAGAUCUCGUCAAUCUUGGCGAGAUUUUUAUACAUCAACUCAUUCUUUAACUAAUUUGUCUGAAAAAUACUAUGAAUACUUAAUUCAAAAUACAACUUUCAACAACGGAUCUCUUGGCUCUC